rnacentral:rRNA from 1 species
CGGUCAGGGAUGAGCUCGCGGCCUAUCAGCUUGUUGGUGAGGUAAUGGCUCACCAAGGCGUCGACGGGUAGCCGGCCUGAGAGGGUGACCGGCCACACUGGGACUGAGACACGGCCCAGACUCCUACGGGAGGCAGCAGUGGGGAAUAUUGCACAAUGGGCGAAAGCCUGAUGCAGCAACGCCGCGUGAGGGACGACGGCCUUCGGGUUGUAAACCUCUUUUAGCAGGGAAGAAGCGAAAGUGACGGUACCUGCAGAAAAAGCGCCGGCUAACUACGUGCCAGCAGCCGCGGUAAUACGUAGGGCGCAAGCGUUAUCCGGAAUUAUUGGGCGUAAAGAGCUCGUAGGCGGUUUGUCGCGUCUGCUGUGAAAACUGGAGGCUCAACCUCCAGCCUGCAGUGGGUACGGGCAGACUAGAGUGCGGUAGGGGAGAUUGGAAUUCCUGGUGUAGCGGUGGAAUGCGCAGAUAUCAGGAGGAACACCGAUGGCGAAGGCAGAUCUCUGGGCCGUAACUGACGCUGAGGAGCGAAAGGGUGGGGAGCAAACAGGCUUAGAUACCCUGGUAGUCCACCCCGUAAACGUUGGGAACUAGUUGUGGGGUCCAUUCCACGGAUUCCGUGACGCAGCU